rnacentral:lncRNA from 12 species
UUCCCCCGGCGGCGGGGCCGGCGGGCUCGGGCGCGCGCGGCUGAGGGGACGCGGCCGCGGGAGGCGGGUGAGCAGCGCCCAAAGCCGUCGCAGGCCUCAGCCCGCCCCGCAGAAGGGGCAACCCGGCGGGCGGCUCGGUGCGUGUGAAGCGCGACAUGGCGGCGAGGCCGACGAGCCCCGGGGGCCCCGACGUACGGCGAAGGGGGCGGGGCUAGAGCGGCCUUGGCAACCAUUAGAUCGCCUCGGGCUGGGCGGCUUGCAAACUACAUUUCCCAGAGGGCCUCGCGUGCCGCGGGACGGAAGGGGAAGCGCCUCGGGUGCAGUGCGCAGACGCGAGAGCUUCUUCUGGUUAUAUAAGAGCGGUCUGGAUCCCUUUUCGGUCUUUUCCGUCCUCGGCGCUUUCCUCUUGGUGUUCUGUGGCCUUCUGCUGCGUUCGAUGUUGUGCGGGCACGGGAGCCCGGGUUUGCUGCUCUGUGCGAUUUAAUGUUGGCAAGAGACUUGGAGUGGACCAGGAGUGGAAAGGAGUUGGCCUGGAGCCCUGUGAAGCCACAGGGCAGUAAAUAGAUGGCAGCCUGAUGUGCUUGGUUCAGUCUGUCCUGUUACAG